AUACGUAGGGGGCGAGCGUUGUCCGGAAUUACUGGGCGUAAAGGGUGCGUAGGCGGUUUGUUAAGUCAGAUGUGAAAGUCCACGGCUCAACCGUGGGAUUGCAUUUGAAACUGGCAGGCUAGAGAGCAGGAGAGGGAAGUGGAAUUCCUAGUGUAGCGGUGAAAUGCGUAGAGAUUAGGGGGAACACCAGUGGCGAAGGCGGCUUCCUGGCCUGUAACUGACGCUGAGGCACGAAAGCGUGGGUAGCGAACAGGAUUAGAUACCCUGGUAGUCCACGCCGUAAACGAUGGAUACUAGGUGUAGGGGGUAUUAAGCCCUCUGUGCCGUAGUUAACGCAAUAAGUAUCCCGCCUGGGGAGUACGGCCGCAAGGCUGAA
rnacentral:rRNA from 1 species